rnacentral:rRNA from 1 species
UACGAAGGGGGCUAGCGUUGCUCGGAAUCACUGGGCGUAAAGCGUGCGCAGGCGGCUUCGCAAGUCAGACGUGAAAUCCCCGGGCUUAACCUGGGAAUGGCGUUUGAAACUACGGAGCUGGAGUGUGGCAGAGGGAGGUAGAAUUCCACGUGUAGCGGUGAAAUGCGUAGAUAUGUGGAGGAAUACCGAUGGCGAAGGCAGCCUCCUGGGCCAACACUGACGCUCAUGCACGAAAGCGUGGGGAGCAAACAGG